UCUGUAUAUAACGAUCCUCUCGGCAGC
rnacentral:sRNA from 1 species